rnacentral:rRNA from 1 species
CGGUUAUACAAAAUAUACAAAUAAAUUUUUUUAUUUUGUAGUUAAAUUUAUUAUUUAUUAAAUUAAAUGUUUAUAAAUAAGGUGAAAUUUUUUAUAAAAAUAAAAUUUUUUAAUUAAUUUAUUGAAGCUAUUAGAUUUAAAUAAUAAACUAGGAUUAGAUACCCUAUUAUUUUAAAAUUAAAAAUUUAUUAUUAGGUAGUAAUAGUUAUAAUCUUGAAACUUAAAAAAUUUGGCGGUAUUUUAAUCUAAUUAGAGGAAUCUGUUCCAUAAUCGAUAAUCCACGAUAAAUUUUGCAUAAUUUAAUUUAGUUUGUAUAUCGUCGUUAUAAGAAAAUUUUAUAAGGAUAUUAAUUUUCUAAUUUUUAAAUUUUAAUUUAUUUCAGAUCAAGGUGCAGCUUAUAAUUAUGAGGAAAUGGAUUACAAUAAAUUUAUUUAUAUGAAUAAUAAAGUGAAUAUUUUAUUUGAAGGUGGAUUUAAUAGUAAAUUAGAUUAUAUUAUCUAAUUGAUUUUAGCUCUAAAAUAUGCACAUAUCGCCCGUCGCUCUCUUUCUUUAAAAAGAGAUAAGUCGUAACAAAGUAGAUGUACUGGAAAGUGUAUCUAGAAUGGAUUC